rnacentral:rRNA from 1 species
CAAGGGCAACCGGCGAACGGGUGCGUAACACGUGAGCAACCUACCGAUUUGAGGGGGAUAGCCGGCCUAACGGCCGAGUAAUACCGCAUACGCUCUCGAUGAGGCAUUUCAUUGAGAGGAAACCUACGGGACAUUUCGAGGGGCUCGCGGCCUAUCAGCUAGUUGGAGAGGUAACGGCUCACCAAGGCAACGACGGGUAGCUGGUCUGAGAGGAUGGCCAGCCACAUUGGGACUGAGAUACGGCCCAGACUCCUACGGGAGGCAGCAGUGGGGAAUCUUGCGCAAUGGCCUAACGGCUGACGCAGCGACGCCGCGUGUGGGAUGAAGCUCUUCGGAGUGUAAACCACUGUUGCCCGGGACGAAUAGCUCGAUUAAUCGAGCCUGACGGUACCGGGUGAGGAAGCACCGGCUAACUCCGUGCCAGCAGCCGCGGUAAUACGGGGGGUGCGAGCGUUGUCCGGAAUCACUG